rnacentral:tRNA from 4 species
GCCGUUGUAGCUCAGUUGGUAGAGCACGUCAUUGGUAAUGACGAGGUCAUCGGUUCAAUCCCGAUCAACGGCUCCA